rnacentral:lncRNA from 1 species
GAGAGAGAGAAAGAGAGAAGGAAAAAGAGAGAGGAAAAAAGUGAAUGAGAGACAGGGAAAGUGAGAGAAAAAGGAGAGAGCAAGAGGGGAGGACCUGGCAAGAGAGAGUUUUUAUAGCCAAAAUCUAAUGGGAUCUCUAGGUCUGCAAGCUGCCUCGUUGGUGUAUAGUGAUUGGAUCAUACAGUAGAUGCUAAGGUGUCAUCUUCUGCCUUCAGGCAGAUCUUCAGCAUUACGUAAAUUAAUAAAUAAAAUAAGGAUAUUGUGUUAUGUAAAAAUAAACUGUAAAGUUAUAAAGAUUAAAGUUAAAGCCCAGCAUUCUUACUUUAAAACUGGUAAAACUGACUUGCUGGAUGUUUAAGGCCAAAUUUAAAUAUUAAGGUCAAAAUAAAGGGGCCAAAAAACCCAAUAUUUGGCUCUUGCCCUCUAAGUCAGCCUGAACCCAGGACAGGGGAAAAUGCUUUGCAACUCCGGGCCACAUAACCUCCUGAUAAGGGAGAUUAAUGAGACCAAUGGAAAACAAAAUGCCAAUGAGUGUACAUGCUGCAAAACAGGAGGGUCAUUUAAAAAGGAGACAUGUCUGAUGCUUCCAAGGAAAGCCAUAUGGUCAGCAAGACCUUGACCCAUCCUAAUGCAGAUGACACUAACAGAGCUAAAAUGCUACUCACACGUUCCCCAAGAAUGUCCUCCGAGGAAACUCAGCUGACUCUUAACAAUAGAUAGAAACAAGGUCAGUUUGACCAGCUUGGUCUUAAACACCUAGCAAAAACAGUUAAAACCAAAGCACAGCCAUUCCUGGACAUUUAAAAAAACAACAACAGUUAAUGUAACUUAAAAUGUACACUAAUGUUAGCAUCCCCAAAAAUAAGUAAGACUGGAGACAACAGAAGAAAAAUUCUUAGGCAAAAAUGCCUGAUAACUACCAAUAAAUGCCAAAAGUUUCUAUUCCAUUUAAGGCCUACAGAUCUUCCUAACUUCCUACACAGGUAGAUGUAAUCAAUGUUUAUUAAUAUAAUUAUCUAGCCCUAAGUAACAAAAGGAUCUUUACUGAACACAGUGGUCAUGCCAAAAAGGUAUUUUUACAAAAAUCAGAUGACAUUAACUAAUUUAACUAAAUAUUGUGUCUACAUUCCUAAUAAUUCUAACAAUGUUAAAGAUUUAUGUUCCCUAAAAAAAGUGCCUUAUUAGGCUUUGUUAGGCCUUGUUAUGGGGACAUUUUCUCAGGUCUUCCGCCUCCUGGUAAACAAUUAUUAAUUUCUGUCAUUUUCAUGAUAUUCAUGAACAGGUUUCAGAUGCUACAACUGCUAUUUUGUAUUAAUCUUACUUCAGCACUCAUGUCUUUUUGUUUCUCUCAUAGAAGUGCUCACCCCAGGUGAAUUUACAUCCUGUUCUUCCUGAGCCAGAUUUUUACCAUGGACUCCUUGACCCACUCGGUUUCUAAAAAGGGACUCCAAAACUGCUUGCCCACUGCACAUCACCCCCCUUUCAGCUGGAAGUAGCAAGAAUGGUCAUCGCCCUUUUCCCUUAUGGCAGUUGGAGGUCCCUAAUAUUAAAAAAAAAUUACGGUCAACAUAGAUGUUCGCCAAUGUCUAGCUCAGGAAGAUGUACCUGGGAAACUACUCCCAAGAUCACCCAUAAAGAGACACUUGCUUCUGCAACCCAACUUAUAAGUGGGACAACUCCCCAUUCACCAAAAAUUGUGCUUCUCGGUUCCCACUUUGAACUCCUUGACUAAAUCUCCAAACUGUCAAUAACUCUGAACUAUGUAACUUACUAUUUUGAUGGAGUAAAAGAAAAAGAACACCUGGACUUAUUAAAAGGCCAGACCCCACUGAUUUAUCAACAUAGACUGGCUACCCCCAUUUUAGUUCCCCUCCUGGCUGGUAUCUACUGCUUUGGGAACUACAGCUCUUAUCACAAGCUCUAAAAAUUUUAAGUCCCUCAGCCAUCAAAUAAAUAUAGAUUUAGAAAAACUAGAAAGGUCAAUCUCCAAACUAGAGGUUUCACUAGACUCUCUGACAGAAAUAGUCUUACAAAACAGAUGAGGUCUAGAUGGUCUCUUUCUGAAACAAGGAAGACUUUGUAUGGCUCCAGUAGAAACUUGUUUCUCUAUGCAAACCAGUCUGGGAUAAUAAAGUACAGUUUGGUGCUUGUGAAAAACAGGUUAAAUGAAAGAGAUAAAACACUAGAAACUUCAGGAAAUUGGUUCCAAAAUCUAUUCUCAUGGUCCCCUUAGUUGACUACCAUCAUUUCAGCCAUAGUUGGGCCCCUAGUCCUUCACCUGAUUGGUAUUACUGUAGGACCCUGCCUCUUAAAAACCCUCCUAAACCAUACACACAAAAGAAUGUAGAUGGGGUCAGACUUAUGGUCUUGAGAGCCCAGUAUAGUCCCUUAGACACAGAAGGAUGAAACAAAAACUGAGGCCUAAUGAUGUGCAAGAUUGACAUCAAACCUACUAAAACCAGUGGGGAAUGUGAUAGUAGGAGCAAAUGUGACUCCAUUUUGUUUUAUGACUUCAUCCUGUAAAACAACCAUGCCAAGUAGAAGAGUCAUGACUAGAGCAAGGUGUUCUUUUCCUUUUGCUAUAGAAACCUUUAAGAACAUGGAACUACCUAAUGGGGUAUUGUUUCUGUAACUAGGGUAACGGGGCUCUGUUUCUGUAACUGGGGUGACUGGGCUAACUGUGAUUGGUUAGUCUUCCCUCCGCUUGACUGCACUGUCCCACUUCUGUAACCUGGCUUGCUUGCAUUGGCUAGACCCCCCCGAACAUCCCUUUUGCGGUUUUCAGGCUUAUAAGGAGUGCCCUUGCAAUUGUUCAGGGCUGAUAAGGGGAACAGCUUUAUGUUCUGGUCAGCCACCACCGGUGUGCUUCAAUAAAGGCUUGAUUCGAUUAUA